CAAAUGUUCAGUGCCUAGGCAUUGGAUCUACUCUAUGUAGACUNUACCCACUAACGAAGANCAUUNUUCCUUUUUAGGCUCAUGGGUAAGAGGGUCGAGUGUGGAUACCCUCGGGUGGAAGCCUCAANCCAUGAUCUCAAAUCAGACCAGACUACCCGCUGAACUUAAGCAUAUUAAUAAGCGGAGGAAAAGAAACCAACAGGGAUUCCCUCAGUAAUGGCGAAUGAAGCGGGAAUAGCUCAAAUUUGAAAUCUCUUAGGAGAAUUGUAGUUUGUAGAGGCGACUUCGAUGUCAGCCUGGUCACAAGUCCUCUGGAAUGGGGCAUCAUUGAGGGUGAGAAUCCCGUAAAUGGACCAGGUACUGACGCAAUUGAAUCGUCUUCAAAGAGUCGGGUUGUUUGGGAAUGCAGCCCAAAGUCGGUGGUAUAUUCCAUCUAAAGCUAAAUAUUGGCGAGAGACCGAUAGCAAACAAGUACCGUGAGGGAAAGAUGAAAAGAACUUUGAAAAGAGAGUUAAAAGUACGUGAAAUUGCUAAAAGGGAAACGAUUGAAACCAGUGUUGUUGCGGGGAAAUCAGCUGUCUGGGCAACCGGGCGGUGCACUUUCUUCGUGGCAAGUCCACAUCAGUUAAGGGUUGGGUAAACGGAGGUAGGAAUGUAGCUGCUUGCAGUGUUAUAGACUACCUUUAUGCCCGGCCAGUGACUGAGGCUUGCAGCGUGUUUUUGGUAACUCACAACUACGCUCAGGAUGUGGACGAAAUGGUUUUAAACGACC
rnacentral:rRNA from 1 species